GGCGUAGGCGGCUUUUCAAGUCGGAUGUAAAAUCUCUCAGCUUAACUGAGAGGGAGUCAUGCGAUACUGUAAGGCUAGAGUGCAACAGAGGGAGGUGGAAUUCCCGGUGUAGUGGUGAAAUGCGUAGAUAUCGGGAGGAACACCAGUGGCGAAGGCGGCCUCCUGGGUUGUUGCUGACGCUGUUGCCCAAAAGCGUGGGGAGCGAACAGGAUCAGAUACCCUGGUAGUCCACGCUGUAAACUAUGGACACUGGGUAUAGGGAGUAUCGACCCUCUCUGUGCCGAAGCUAACGCGUUAAGUGUCCCGUCUGGGAACUACGGCCGCAAGGUUAA
rnacentral:rRNA from 1 species